GUGGGCUAAAAAAAUUUGACCUAUACACAUAUAAUUCAGACAGAAGCUGAGGCCGAGGGCUGGAUUGGAAAAAAAAAACAAAAUGGCAGAUUGAAGCGGUGGAAAAAAGAAGAAGUUGAGCAGCUGCUGGGGGUAUGUUGGUGGGUUGCAAGAGUUGAUUUUUAGAGAUAAUUCCCACAGAAUUCGACAGAUCGGAGGCUGGGAAUUAAGUGCCAAACAAUGUAGCAACGGCUAGAAGAUACACACACACACACACAAAAUACAGAAAAAGGGAAGAGGGAGGAAGACAAAAAAAAAAAAACGACGGCUCAAUUGGAGUAAUUGAGGAACACAACCAGCUACUGGGAGGUGAAACCAAAGUCAGCAAUUGGAUGUGCAACAUACACGUGACUGUCGAUGAAGAUUAAGCAGGAAUCAUUCACGCUUCGUUAAUUUUUGGUGAUAUUUUUCCACUUUUUUUGUUUAAUUUUCACAUUAUAUUAGGCUAAAUUAUUUUGUGAUAGGAUUUGCGAUGAACUUUAUAUUAUGAAUCUUUAAUCUUGAAUUUUAUUUAUUUUGAC
rnacentral:lncRNA from 1 species